UACGGAGGGUGCAAGCAUUGAUCGGAAUUACUGGGCGUAAAGGGCGCGUAGGCGGUAGGAUAAGUCGGAUGUGAAAUUCCGGGGGCUCAACCCCGGAGCUGCAUUUGAAACUAUUCUGCUAGAGUUCAGUUAGGGUAAACGGAAUUCCACGUGUAGCGGUGAAAUGCGUAGAUAUGUGGAAGAACACCGGUGGUGAAGACGGUUUACUGGGCUGAAACUGACGCUGAGGCGCGAAAGCAUGGGGAGCAAACAGGAUUAGAUA
rnacentral:rRNA from 1 species